rnacentral:lncRNA from 1 species
AUACCUAAAAAUGUUCUAAAUAAACCCAAAAUCAUAUUCAGCACCUACUCGGCCAAUUUCAAAAUUUCAGCACGGCGGCUCCGCCGUGCUCCGACAACAGUGCCGCCACAGGUCCACCUUGGGUUGGUCAUUUUUGGCCGAAUUCGAUCGAUUUUACAUCGAUUCUUGUGAGAAAACACGUUAAAGGGUCUCUGUUGGCCCAAAAAUUCUGAAAAACCAAAACUCAAGGCAGUGGGGCCAUCCGGUGCGGCGGCUCUUCC